UACGUAGGAUGCUAGCGUUGUCCGGAUUUACUGGGCGUAAAGCGCGCGCAGGCGGCACUGUAAGUAAGGUGUGAAAUCUCCCUGCUCAACGGGGAGGGUGCACUUUAGACUGCAGAGCUAGAGGACGGUAAAGGGGGGUGGAAUUGCUGGUGUAGCGGUGAAAUGCGUAGAGAUCAGCAGGAACACCCGUGGCGAAGGCGGCCCCCUGGGCCGAACCUGACGCUGAGGCGCGAAGGCUAGGGGAGCGAACGGG
rnacentral:rRNA from 1 species